rnacentral:rRNA from 1 species
AUUGAACGCUGGCGGCAGGCCUAACACAUGCAAGUCGAGCGGAUGAAGGGAGCUUGCUCCUGGAUUCAGCGGCGGACGGGUGAGUAAUGCCUAGGAAUCUGCCUGGUAGUGGGGGAUAACGUCCGGUAACGGGCGCUAAUACCGCAUACGUCCUGAGGUAGAAAGUGGGGGAUCUUCGGACCUCACGCUAUCAGAUGAGCCUAGGUCGGAUUAGCUAGUUGGUUGGGUAAAGGCCUACCAAGGCGACGAUCCGUAACUGGUCUGAGAGGAUGAUCAGUCACACUGGAACUGAGACACGGUCCAGACUCCUACGGGAGGCAGCAGUGGGGAAUAUUGGACAAUGGGCGAAAGCCUGAUCCAGCCAUGCCGCGUGUGUGAAGAAGGUCUUCGGAUUGUAAAGCACUUUAAGUUGGGAGGAAGGGCAGUAAGUUAAUACCUUGCUGUUUUGACGUUACCAACAGAAUAAGCCACGGCUAACUUCGUG